UCUGUUUCCUAUUUGCUUUAUUUAGUAUUUUGUUUUCUUCAUUAACCAAAAAAAAUAUGUUUUCUAUUUACAAGUUUGUUCUGUGCAAAUGGGACCAAGUUGGUGAAACAUUCAUCCGAGGAGAUGUUACUUACAAUAAUGGAGAAUUUGAAUACCCUCAGGUUGCAUAUGUGGAAAACGGCGACGAUGAUGACGACAUUAUCUAAGAUUAUGCUCCAGCGGCAUGAGUGGAUUUGUUACUUUCAGUUUUUGACCAAAGAGUAGAAAACUCGGUUCUUAUAUACGAAUUUGUUGCUUAGGGCCUUUUAUGUACUUGUUGAGAUUAUUCUCACUGGAAAUAGUUGGACACUUGGUUUUCUCAUCAACCUCUCUUUUAUCAUUCUUAUAACUUUCGAUACAAAUAUGCAAGA